rnacentral:tRNA from 1 species
GCGUCCUUAGCUCAGCUGGAUAGAGCAAUGCCCUUCUAAGGCAUCGGUCAGAGGUUCGAAUCCUCUAGGGCGCACCA